rnacentral:misc_RNA from 1 species
UCCGUGUUAACCACGGCAGUCUGUCUGGAGUGCCCACCUUAAAUGAUGGCAACCAAACACGCGGGUUGCGCUCGUUGCGGGACUUAACCCAACAUUUCACAACACGAGCUGACGACAGCCAUGCAGCACCUGUCUCUCUGUCUCUUGCGAGCCUAAUCUAUCUCUAAAUUAUUCAGAGGAUGUCAAACCCAGGUAAGGUUCUUCGCGUUGCUUCGAAUUAAACCACAUGAUCCACUGCUUGUGCGGGCCCCCGUCAAUUCCUUUGAGUUUUAGUCUUGCGACCGUACUUCCCAGGCGGGAUGCUUAUCGUGUUAACUUCGACACGGCAGGGGUCAAGACCCACCACGUCUAGCAUCCAUCGUUUACAGCGUGGACUAC